UUAGAUGCUUUCCUUCAAUGCUGCCUGUG
rnacentral:piRNA from 1 species